rnacentral:rRNA from 1 species
UACGUAGGGUGCGAGCGUUGUCCGGAUUUAUUGGGCGUAAAGAGCUCGUAGGCGGUUUGUCGCGUCGGCCGUGAAAUCUCCACGCUUAACGUGGAGCGUGCGGUCGAUACGGGCAGACUUGAGUUCGGUAGGGGAGACUGGAAUUCCUGGUGUAGCGGUGAAAUGACGCAGAUAUCAGGAGGGAACACCGGUGGGCGAAAGGCGGGGUCUCUGGGCCGAUACUGACGCUGAGGAGCGAAAGCGUGGGGGAGCGAACAGG